AAUAUGUGUUGUGGACAUUGGCGGAGUAAACCUUUAUAUCGUUCCCAAGCCUCUGAAUAGCAUUUUUAGUCCUAUUUUUGGAAACUAGUAAUCUCAUUCCUCAGCUU
rnacentral:snoRNA from 1 species